rnacentral:tRNA from 1 species
GGGGUUGUGCCUCAGUGGUAGAGCACUUGCUUAGCAUGCAGGAGACACUGGGUUCAAUCCUCAACACCA